rnacentral:lncRNA from 1 species
CUCUUUUUUUCUAUUAAAUCACUAGACUCUAUCAAGGUCGGUGCUUCUGCUUUGCUCUCAACUGUGUUCCCAGCGUCUAGAACAGAACAAUGAUAGCAACAGGAAGCAGCCAAAUGCCUAGGCAGAUAGGGGUGGGUCCCCUGUGAAACACCACCUUCAAACCAAAAAAACAGCCUGAAGGCAGAAAGAAUGGACUACUGGUCCCAGAUGAAACCCACGACACAGAAUGAGAACUUCUGUUCCUGUUUGCCUGCCCUUCUCCUAUUCUGAGCCCAUAAAAGCCCUGGACUCAGCCAUAUUAUGGGGACUUUCCCACCUUUGGGUGGGGGACCACCCCCAUGUCCCCUCUCUGCUGAAAGCUGUUUUAUCACUCAAUAAAACUCCUGCCUUGAUCACUUUUUGAUUGUCAGU